UACGUAGGGUGCAAGCGUUAAUCGGAAUUACUGGGCGUAAAGCGUGCGCAGGCGGCUAUAUAAGACAGAUGUGAAAUCCCCGGGCUCAACCUGGGAACUGCAUUUGUGACUGUAUAGCUAGAGUACGGCAGAGGGGGAUGGAAUUCCGCGUGUAGCAGUGAAAUGCGUAGAUAUGCGGAGGAACACCGAUGGCGAAGGCAAUCCCCUGGGCCUGUACUGACGCUCAUGCACGAAAGCGUGGGGAGCAAACAGG
rnacentral:rRNA from 1 species